rnacentral:rRNA from 1 species
UGCGUAGGGACCGAGCGUUGUCCGGAAUCAUUGGGCGUAAAGAGCGUGUAGGCGGCUAUUUAAGUCCUGCGUGAAAUCCUGCGGCUCAACCGCAGACGGUCGUGGGAAACUGGAUGGCUAGAGUGCGGGAGAGGAGAGUGGAAUUCCCGGUGUAGCGGUGAAAUGCGCAGAUAUCGGGAAGAACACCCGUGGCGAAGGCGGCUCUCUGGAACGCAACUGACGCUGAGACGCGAAAGCGUGGGGAGCAAACAGG